GAACCAGAGGGUGGAGGCGGAAGGCACUGGUAUUUGAGAUGAUAUUAGGGAAGAUCUCUCUGAUGAAGUGAUAUUUGUGCAGAGAGCUGAGGGGACAUGGGAAAUGAGGGAAUGAGUCGUGAUCACACCUGAGGGCAGAGGAUGAAAAGAAGCAGUUGGAAGGUUUUGAAUAGAGAAGAGCCAUGAUCUGACUUCAGUUUUUAAAGAUUCAUCUGGCUGCUGUGUGAAAAAUAAUAGGACAAAAAUGGAAGCAGAAAGCCAGUUAGCAGAGACUACUUCAGAGUUCAGGUCAGGUGAUAUCCUAGAAGGGAAGAGAGGAGAAGUUAUUAGAUUCAAGACAUGUUUUGAAAGUAAGAGUCCACAGAUUUGAUGAUGGAUUAGAAAUUGGGGGGAAAGAAGAAAAGGGAUUAGGGAUUACUCCAGGGUUGGCUUUAGGGGUUACUCCAAGGUAAACUCUACUGGACUGGGAAACCCUGAGGAAGGUGCAGGUUUAAGCUAUGUGUGUCUGGAAUACAGAUUGGUAAUGAUAACUGUAAGAUGCUUGUUAAUCAAGAAGGCAAUAGGAUAAACUGUUUUGGAGUUGUAGAGAGAAGCUUGGGUGUAGUCAGAAAAUUGGGAGCCAUCAGUGUAGAGGUGAUGCUUAAAGCCAGAUGGCUGAAUGAGAACACCCAGGGGGUGAAUGUGGUGACAGUAUAGCAGAGGCUAGAGGACUGAUCAUAGGAGGAAAACCAGGAGGAGGAGUUAUAGACAGAGCAAGUAACGAAUAAAGGAAGGAUCAACUCUGUCAAUUUCUUGUGGAGCAAGGUAAAAAAUUCAGAGGUAAGCAUGUUGCAAGAAGUCAGGGACCCCGAAUGGAGGGACCCGCUGGAGCCACAGCAGAAGAAACAUAAAUUGUGAAAAUUUCAUGGACAUUUAUCACUUCCCUAAUAAUACUCUUAUAAUUUCUUAUGCCUGUCUUACUUUAAUCUCUUAAUCCUGUUAUCUUCAUAAGCUGAGGAUGUACAUCACCUCAGGACCCUGUGAUGAUUGCGUUAACUGAAC
rnacentral:lncRNA from 10 species